rnacentral:tRNA from 1 species
GCCGGGCUAGCUCAGUUGGUAGAGCGGCUGAUUUGUAAUCAGUAGGUCGUUGGUUCAAUUCCGACGCCCGGCACCA